rnacentral:rRNA from 1 species
CAGCAGCCGCGGGAAUACAGAGGGUGAGAGCGUUAAUCGGAUUUACUGGGCGUAAAGCGUGCGUAGGCGGCUUCUUAAGUCGGAUGUGAAAUCCCUGAGCUUAACUUAGGAAUUGCAUUCGAUACUGGGAAGCUAGAGUAUGGGAGAGGAUGGUAGAAUUCCAGGUGUAGCGGUGAAAUGCGUAGAGAUCUGGAGGAAUACCGAUGGCGAAGGCAGCCAUCUGGCCUAAUACUGACGCUGAGGUACGAAAGCAUGGGGAGCAAACAGGAUUAGAUACCCCUGUAGUCCCUGUCUCUUAUAC